rfam:Triticum urartu cultivar G1812 contig835449, whole genome shotgun sequence.
CAUCUACUCCCUCCGUUCGAAAUUACUUGUCGCAGAAAUGGAUGUAUCUAGACGUAUUUUAGUUCUAGAUACAUCCAUUUUCGAGACAAGUAAUUCCGAACGGAGGGAGUAGCAU